UCUUGCUGACAGCCACUCACACUGGAAAUGAUUAACUUCCAUAUAUGGGAAGUGACUCUCAACACAUAGGCAUUAAAUUAACAAGGGAUCUUUCUGCACAGCGAGGAUACUUUGUCACUUUGGUUUAAAGUUCUUCCCAUGAAAGGAGGCUGCAAAGGUCGUGCCCCAUCAUUCUGACAUCAUUAUUUCCUCGCUUCUACCCGAGCAGAAGGGGUUACAUGUGGUAACGCUGGCUUCGGAGAGGCUGGAGUUGGGGAGGGGGAGGAGGUCCUCUGCUCGAGGUGGGACCAUAGAGGAUGCCCGGCUUUUUUUCCCAUGUUCUCCCCCAGCCAAUGAAAACACUGGAAAAACGGCACGUUCCCAUCGGCUAAGCCUGGUGACACUGCGACCCCAGGAAAAGCAGUGGGAUGAAGCAUUUUUGUACAUUUUUGUGGAAACGAUGUCUAAGAUUCAGCACUGGCUGGGUGUUUCCCAUGGCAGCGCCCAGUGACAGUUAAGAGCCCGUCAGGUCGUGAACUACCAUGAUGCACCACAGGCUGGAUUAAUCACAUCCCUGUAGCCUACAAACAUUGAUACAAGAUACUGCACCAACCAAAUAACCAAUACCAACAGUGUCAGUUUGAAGGAAAAAUAAAUGUUUCCCCUUGGAAAAUGUUACAGUGACCUAAAGUUCCUGGAGGAGGUUCACUCAUCACGUGCAGUGAACUCAUUGAAGGCGUGUCCUUCCCUGAGAACAAGGGGUUCCUCUGGAGCUGCAAACAGGACGGAGUGUUCUCCUUGGGAAAAAAAAUGUACUUGGCAAUGAGUCAGACCUCUCUGAAAACCAUAGGGGGAUAUCCCUGCUCAUACUCCUACACAGGAUCACACCCAGAACGAAUGGAGGAGUGGUGUGCGUGUGUGAAAGAAUGAGUACACACCCAGCCAUAUGUGACUGUCUGCAUGUCUCCACGUAUCCGCUCCAUAAAUUCAUCCAGACUUUUUCUGAGUUCUGCACCGGUUUGGUGCUUUUAGACAUUCUCUGUCAUCCUUGAGCUGUUUUGCCUGAAUACAUUUAAAAGCUUCCUACUAAUGCAGGGAACAAUUAAGUUAUCAAAUGGACACAACCAUUAUGUAAAAGGCGGGUUAUAUUGCCAACAAUUUGAACACUGUCUGCUUCCUGGAAGUGCAGACGAAAUGUCAGGGGCACAAUAUUUCAAGGCUAUUAACUUGAGUGCUUUUUUAUUCAGUCUCAUUACUUUUUAAACAGCAUAGGAAGUCACGGAAAUGUAAUAUUAAUUUUUACAUGGCUUUCAUUUUCAUUCCUAUGGAGCUGUUUAAAAUUCAUGCGGGGAGCAGGAGGGCCAGCAUAGUAUUCUAUACGCAGCGAGACAAAGUCACAUCUGCGUUCUCUUUCUGGAGGAAAAUCUUAGGUGUUGGGUGUUUUGUUGAGUGCGAGGUCAUUGUGUAUUCUGCGGUAAGUGAUGUGACAAUGGACACGUUGUAGGAGUGGAUCUGACAACACAGAGGAAGAGGCAGGAAGAGAGAGUGUGUGCAUCAAACCCAGCAACUAUCUCUGGGAAAACACGUGGACAAACAUACGGAGCAUCUACCUUGGGAAUACAAUCCUGCAUGCCUGCAUCAAUACACACCUUUCUAGGCACUCGCCUUCAUACAGGAAAACUGCAUAAUGCAACAUAUAGAGUGAAUAUUAGUUGAAUAAGAGAAAGAUGGACUGGCAAAGAAAGAAAGAAGGACAGAUAUUUCAUUAAAUCUUUAUUUUUGAAUUUUAAAAAUCCAGAUAAGACCAAUUUUGAUCUACGAGAGCUCCCUAAUUUAGGCCCUAAUGAGAAUUUUUCAAAUGUGGGGAGCCUUAUCAUGAAAAAUGGCUUGAGACCAUUAAUAGUUUAUAGGUUGAGUUAAUGAUAGAGAUGACUCCUAAUUGAGCUCUACAGAGCUUUACUAUCCGGUGGUCCUUUUCACCAGCGCCAGGAAUCUCUCUCAUUAUUUCAAAAAAGCCAUGCAUAAUAUCCACUCUUUUUUUAGGGAUAAGAUUAAUUUAUGUUCCCAAAAAAAGAUCCUGCCCGACUUUCACGAAUCAGAAUGGAGGAGUGGAGGAAAAUAUAUAUAUUGUCUAAUUCAACUUCUAAUUCUGAUGUAACAUAAGAAAGAAUGAGCAGAUCUGACAACACAAAAGGUCUGCAGUCAUCUCUGUUAUGAUACGGUUGCCAUGGAGAUUUAGUUUCCACAUUACUGUAGCAUGGGCUUUCCUUCUUGAUUUAGGCUUUUGUUGUCCAGCAACUGACCAGUCGCUCAUCUAAUCAGGGCCUGUUGCGGCCAUGCUUUCCACUGAGGCUGCAGUCACACACACAUAUGCACACAGAGUUACAGUUGAGGCUUAUAAAUAGGCAUUAUACCAUAUGAACACGUCAUCUGCCUGUUGCUGUGUGGCUGCCAACCAGUCAGUACAGUAAACAUCAGGUCACCAUGGCAGUAGUCUGAGCGGCUGACAAAACAGGGGAAACAGGAAGGGAUUCCCUUUCAGCCAAGUGACGGCCACAGUGUUGCGUGGAUUCCCAUCAACCUUUCCCUGGCACGGCCGUGGGCUUCCCCCAUCUUGCUCAAUCGCGCCAAAUGGUCGGCGGUAAAGCCCCCCUCCCCACCCCUUCCAGAACAUGUGGCAGCUCUAAUUACCGCGCCACACAGGCCUCGGCUCUGGAAAACCACAAAAAUGGGGUUAUACGGCUGUGUGCUUUUAAGGCGCUACCAGGCCGAUGUGGUGCCCUGCUCUGAGCUGAAAAAUGUGCUCAAUUAUUAAUGAUUUGUGAUUUACAGGCAAGCUAGAUUACAAAUCCCCCUUUUAAAGAGGUGAAAUAUGGAGAACUAUAUAUAAACAGCUCCCAGCUCUCAGGCUGAGGGCAGAUUUCCAACAUGGCAGAUGGUGACUGUGAGACAGUCAGUGGAGAGGAAGAGCUGAGCUUGAACUGAAGAAGAAGCCAGUGUGUGUGUGUGUGUGUGUGUGGUGGUGUGUGUGGCUAGAUCAGAGUCCUAAACAGCAUUUCAUCGAUAGAAGAGCGUAGAAAUGGAAUUAAAACACCCUUCUAACAAGCUCUCAUGUUCAGAGCUGCUUGUCUUGCGGCUACUGAUUCACCCAGGGCGAUUUAGAGUGAUGAGGGAGAAACAAAUUGGUGUUAUCAUAUUGUUAGAUGUCAAAACAGAGCUGCCCCGUUGCCUAUCAUUUGUUUUGGGAAUUAGAAACAUUCUCCCUCUGUUACUAGCUUUUCUAUUUUUGGGAGGAAAAUAAAACCUCAGCGGACCCUGUUGAGAUGGGGGAGGAGAUUGAGGCAUAAAUAGUCUUCCUGUUUGAACUUUAAAUAAAGCAGCACACGAUGUCAGCCAAGGCUUCCUAAUGGGGUGGAUAGAUCCGGUUCUACCAAAGUGACACCAAAGUGACAUUUUGACUUGGCAGGGCAUUAAAUUUUAUGCUAAGCAGCUACCUUUGACUGGAGUACAAAGAAUGCAAAGGAUCUGACAUUUACACUCACAACUUGAUGUUCAUCGACUGCCUUAAAAAGUCAGAAAAUGUAAUACAACGCCUCCUUUCCUCAGUCUUCAUUUCCACUCUAAUGAUUCUCAGCCUGAAAUUUUUUACGAAACACUUAAAAUUCCAGAAAUUAGCAUUGUUUUGUGUAACUUCUGUGCUCAGCAGAUCUGCGAGGAUGCAUAUCUGAGCAGGGAUCCCCAGUGGGAAACAUAUUCACCCAAACCUCGCUCAGAUCAGUCGGUGAAACCCGCCGCAGCUCCCGCAACCAAGGGAAUUCCUCUCAGAAAUAUUUGCUUUUUUGUUCUAGUGAGGAAAUGAGGGUGAGAGAGGCGGAGGGAAGAGGGGGUUUACUGAAAUUGAAUCACCAUGGCAACUUCAAUAACAUUUCACUUCCCCUCCCCCCCAUCACCCAAGCACACACACACACGAGAGGAAAUGAGUUUCAAAACGGAGAAGACGCUUCAACCGUCAUUUGUUUUUGACGCCUGCCAAGCAACAGAGACAUCAUUGACUUGAUAAGGACUCACUGACAGUUUUACUACUCUGCAUCCUAUUGCGGCACAGGAAGGCUAGGCGCUGCUAAAAUGCUAAUGGUUCACAGGUCCUUGCUGCAAGCAAUAAAAACAUUAUGAAAGUAUCUUUAUGCGCACUCUAACCCAAUUCUGUGCUGUUGUAGGAGAAUGUACGUUCCACUUGUCUCUCUCUAAAGUUUUGCCUAAAGAGGCAUCCUGGGAAUCUGGAGAUGCUGUCAGAAGCCGGAGGGCCAAAUUUGACAGGAAUGUGGCUGCAGCAGGAAGACCUGCUGUAUGAGACUUGCUGAGGAGUCAUGUACAGCUGUGGAUCUGCAGAUUUCACUCUUCAAAUUCAGGAGGAAAUCCGAUUCUGAGCACUAUAUGUUGAAGUAAUAAUUCAAGGUUAUAUGAAUAUAUAAAAUGUAACACUGAUUCAUGAAAGCUUUAGCAUUUUGAAACAUGUAGUAGUGGACAGAGUCUUGUGAAUGUCAAGACAAAACUGUGAAAAUAACACAGGCACUACAAUAAAGAAUAGAUCCCAUAUAGAUGCCUGUUCCAAGUAAAGGCAGAUUGAGUUCUGUGAUUGAAGCAAAUAAAAUCUUUACGGUAGAAGGGU